rnacentral:rRNA from 1 species
GUUGACCUCGGAUCAGGUAAGGAGAC